UUUAAAUGUAAUUUAUUUACUAAAUUAGUAUUAGUUAUGUUCUUGAAAAUUAAAAAAUUUGGCGGUAUUUUAGUCUUUUCAGAGGAACCUGUCCUAUAAUUGAUAAUCCACGAUUAAUUUUACUUAUUUUAUUAGUUUGUAUAUCGUCGUAGUUUGAAUGUUUUAGGAGAAUUUUAAUGUUCAAGAUUAUUAAUAAAUAAGGAAAUCAGAUCAAGGCAUAGUUUAUAGAUAAGAAGAGAUGGGUUACAAUAAAUUUAUUUUUGGUUUAAAUAAUGAAAUUUAUUUAUUAAAUUGGAUUUGAAAGUAAUUUUAAAUAUAUAUUUAAAAUGAUUAAGCUCUAAAAUAUGU
rnacentral:rRNA from 1 species